ensembl:lncRNA
UGAAUUGCCACCGUUGUAGACAGGUGGACCAGUUUGGAGCAUAAGGAAGAAAUGUUGGAGAAAGUGAACUUCAGUAAAAGAAGCUAGAGUCAGUCACCUCAGUCAGUGGCAGACCGACAAAGAAGAAGAGAGCUGAUUGGCCCACAGCUGUGGUAAAUGUAGCCAGAAUGGAUUUUGAACAUAUCUGAACAGCAGGGACCAGUCAGCCAGAAGAGGAUCCCUUCUGGUGGGUGUCAAAACCCACAAGACCUUUGUCUUUCAGGAAGGCUUUCCAGCAGAACUUUUCACCCUCAAAUACUCUAUGGAAAAGACACUCCUCUCUAUGCCCGAUACAUACUUAUUCAAUGAGAAUCUACCUAUGUUUUAAACAGGUGACUCUAAGAGGGCUUCAUAGUUGUGGCCGAGGCCUGAUGUCAGUCAGACAGGCUUUGAUGAGG